UACGGAGGGUGCAAGCGUUUGUUCGGAUUUACUGGGCGUAAAGCGCGCGCAGGUGGGUGUGCAAGUCGGAAGUGAAAUCCCAGGGCUCAACCCUGGGGCUGCUCCCGAAACGGCACGCCUAGGGACUGGUAGAGGCUGGUAGAAUUCCCGGUGUAGCGGUGGAAUGCGUAGAGAUCGGGAAGAAUACCUGUGGCGAAGGCGGCCAGCUGGGCCAGAUCCGACACUGAGGCGCGAAAGCGUGGGGAGCAAACAGGG
rnacentral:rRNA from 1 species